GACGAACGCUGGCGGCGUGCCUAAUACAUGCAAGUCGAACGAACCGCGACUAAGUCCCUGCCCUCGGUCAAGAUUAGUGGCGAACGGGUGAGUAACCCGUGGGUAAACUCCUUCAUAACGGGCGAUAACAAUCGGAAACGCCUGCUAAUACCGCAUAGAACAUAAGAUCACAUGAUUCUGAGACGACAGGAGGCGCAAGCUAUCGCUAAGAGAUGGACCCGCGGUGCAUUACCUAGUUGGGAGGGUAAAGGCCUAACAUGGCGAGGAUGCAUAGCCGACCUGAAAGCGUCGUCGGGCACAUGGGGAGUGAGGCACAGCCCACACACCUGAGGUAAGCCGCAGUAGGGAAUCUUACGCGAUGGAGGCGAGUCUGACGGAGCAACGCCGCGUGAGUGAUGAUGGUCUGCGGAUCGUAAAGCUCUGUUGCUAGAGAAGAAGAACGGAUAGAGUAACUGUGAUGAGUGUGACUGUACCAAAGCAGAAAGCCACGGCUAACUACGUG
rnacentral:rRNA from 1 species